rnacentral:tRNA from 1 species
GUUUUAAUAUUUUAAAAUAAAAAGUUAGUUUUGUAAACUAAAAUUAGAGAAAUCUUUAAAACU